rnacentral:rRNA from 1 species
GAGGAACCUGCCUUGGAGAGGGGAAUAACACAGAGAAAUUUGUGCUAAUACCGCAUGAUGCAGUUGGGUCGCAUGGCUCUGACUGCCAAAGAUUUUAUCGCUCUGAGAUGGCCUCGCGUCUGAUUAGCUAGUUGGUGGGGCAACGGCCCACCAAGGCGACGAUCAGUAGCCGGACUGAGAGGUUGACCGGCCACAUUGGGACUGAGACACGGCCCAGACUCCUACGGGAGGCAGCAUG